AAACAGAAUAUUUUCCCCGGACUUGACUGUGAAUCCUCCUGACUGUAUGGCAGCUGGGACGGAAGAAGGAAGGCUGGCACAACA
rnacentral:lncRNA from 12 species